rnacentral:misc_RNA from 1 species
AACAGCGUCAUACACUAAAAUACGGAGGAAGUACUACAUAUGACACAUUCUAAUACUACGAAUAUAGUAGAGAUAUAUCUGUCCAGAUUCAUAGUAUUAGGAUGUGUCACGUCCGAUCUUAGAUUUGAUUUUUAUGUGACGGAGAAAGGA